rnacentral:lncRNA from 1 species
CCGUCAGGGAGGGGCAGACGAGGACCCUCGGGCUUCCCCCUCACCAUGGAGAACUUACUGCCUUCGUCCAGAUUUUCUUUCUUGAAAAAGUAUCCUCUCCACUCGAUUCGGAAAUAUUUAUCAACGCUGAGAAACCAAAAGGCCGAAGAACAGGUCCUAGACAAUUAGCAUCUCGCCUGUCAGACGUGAGGCACUGAAUCCAGGCUGAUGGAAAUGACAGAAUGGGGAGUAAGGGGUGUCAUGAAUUCUAUCCAGAGACAGAAGUGCUUAAAAGAAUCCUGGUUGUUAGGUCCGGCAAGGAGGAGACAGGAUUGGGAACUCCUAAAGACCACGUUCUGUCCCUGUCCCUAUUGCUCACAUCUCCUGAACUGUGCUGCUCUACUUGGGUCACACCUGGGCUGACAUCUGUACCCAGCUGCCUUCAAAAUGUAAAAUCCGUAUGCGACGGCCUGUCCUGUCAUUGUGUCUCUGAAAUAAAGGACACAACUGC